AUACAGAGUUCUACCUUCUCAUCUGGACUCUGAUUUUGAUUCUCUGGGCAGCCCUGCAGGGCUUGGUGGUGACAAUAAAGAGGCUGCAGAGCCUAAAUCUCUUCGAACAUACUAUUUGAUCUUCCCUGGUGUGAUCUCAGGAUCCAUGCUGUUUGGGAUAGU